UUCUUUGCCCCAAUUCAGCCUGUGUGCAUAUAUGGAAAUACACGGCACUGUUGAUUAUUUUUUCACUAUUUGUUAUUUUUGUUAUUUUCUCAUGAACUGGAAGCCUUAGAAUUGAUAUUAAGGAAUCUUGGGUAGGGGUUCAAAUAUGAAGGCAAAGUCGUGAGAUGGCAAGAGGAUUGGGGGAAUUUGGGAUGUACUCCGUGUGAAUAAUUUUUGACGUAUUUAUGGAUGAAAACUCCCCCUUUGACCUCUUACUUUGGUGCCCCUUGAAACGGGUGAUGUAUUAUGACGAUAAAAGGCAAACAAGCUAAGGGCUAGGGGUUGAGAAUACCCCUGCCCAAAAUCCUACAAAAGCAAAGCCUUUCCAUUGUUAAUAAUCACGAGGUUGUGAUUACAAAAGUACUUCUUGUGGUUUGAGCAGACGAGAUUUUAUGCUGCAUAGGAUUAUAAAAACAAUCCACCAGAGUCGACUUGUCUUUGGAACCAAUAAGUCAAAGGCCUUUUAAGAAGUUAUGUUAAAAGUUUUCUAGAAGCUAAGAAUCGACACAAUCAGGGAGACAAUAUGCCAUACCAGAUUCAUUCAAAAUGAAACAUCAGGCCUUCUGAGCAUAGAAGCACUGAAUGAAGAUGUGAUUGAAGGUCUCAUUUUCAUUAUAGCACAAACACUCGACUGUAAGAGUUCACCAAAGGAGUUCUUUGGUGAGAUGAAGGAAGACGGAUUUCACAGAACAAAAGCCAUUUGGAUCUAACUUCCGCCAGAUUCUGUCUUUGGCCCCUAGAUAGCUGGACCUCAUCUAGUUUUUCCGAAAAAUCGUCCCAGCUAGCCACCUCUAUAUUGAACAUUCGAACAGACACCAAGAGUUUGUGAAAAGAAAUUUUCUUAUGUUUGAUAAAAUUAUACCUCUGACCCUUUGGUUACAUGAAUAUAUCGAGAUGUAAAUCUGAGAUUUCAUAAAUGGGCAUCUAUACUUUUAAGUUAAUGCCACCUCAUUUGUAAUCCUUGGAUAGGCCUAUAUAUUUGUCUUUUUU